CAGCCGCCACGGGAUACGUAGGGUGCAAGCGUUAAUCGGAAUUACUGGGCGUAAAGCGUGCGCAGGCGGUUAUAUAAGACAGAUGUGAAAUCCCCGGGCUCAACCUGGGAACUGCAUUUGUGACUGUAUAGCUAGAGUACGGCAGAGGGGGAUGGAAUUCCGCGUGUAGCAGUGAAAUGCGUAGAUAUGCGGAGGAACACCGAUGGCGAAGGCAAUCCCCUGGGCCUGUACUGACGCUCAUGCACGAAAGCGUGGGGAGCAAACAGGAUUAGAGACCCCUGUAGUCCCUGUCUCUUAUACA
rnacentral:rRNA from 1 species